GACGUAGGGGCGCGAGCGUUGUCCGGAUUUAUUGGGCGUAAAGAGCUCGUAGGCGGCUUGUCGCGUCGACUGUGAAAUCCCGCGGCUCAACCGCGGGUCUGCAGUCGAUACGGGCAGGCGUAGAGUUCGGUAGGGGAGACUGGAAUUCCUGGUGUAGCGGUGAAAUGCGCAGAUAUCAGGAGGAACACCGAGUGGCGGAAGGCAGGUCUCUGGGCCGGAUACUGA
rnacentral:rRNA from 1 species